rnacentral:tRNA from 1 species
GGGGGCGUAGCUCAGCCCGGUGAGAGCGGCGGUCUUAUAAGCCGCUGGUCGUGGGUUCAAGUCCCACCGCCCCUACCA